UACGGGGGGGGCAAGCGUUGUUCGGAAUUACUGGGCGUAAAGGGCUCGUAGGCGGCCAACUAAGUCAGACGUGAAAUCCCUCGGCUUAACCGGGGAACUGCAUCUGAUACUGGAUGGCUUGAGUUCGGGAGAGGGAUGCGGAAUUCCAGGUGUAGCGGUGAGAUGCGUAGAUAUCUGGAGGAACACCGGUGGCGAAGGCGGCAUCCUGGACCGAGAUUGACGCUGAGGCGCGAAAGCCAGGGGAGCAAACGGG
rnacentral:rRNA from 1 species